AUACGGAGGGUGCAAGCGUUAAUCGGAAUUACUGGGCGUAAAGCGCGCGUAGGCGGUCAUUUAAGCUAGAUGUGAAAUCCCCGGGCUUAACCUGGGAAUUGCAUUUAGAACUGGGUGGCUAGAGUAUAGAAGAGGAGUGUGGAAUUUCCGGUGUAGCGGUGAAAUGCGUAGAUAUCGGAAGGAACAUCAGUGGCGAAGGCGACACUCUGGUCUAAUACUGACGCUGAGGUGCGAAAGCGUGGGGAUCAAACAGGAGUAGAUACCCUGGUAGUCCACGCCGUAAACGAUGUCGACUAGCCGUUGGCCUCCUUGAGGGGUUAGUGGCGCAGUUAACGCGAUAAGUCGACCGCCUGGGGAGUACGGCCGCAAGGUUAAA
rnacentral:rRNA from 1 species